AACCUGGUUGUUCCUGUGAACCGCACCUCCCAGCUUUAAUACCCUGUUACUUCUUGGGCUCCUGGACUUAGAUUCCAAGUGUAGAAAAAGGGGAACUUCCAGCACAUGUUGUGCUCUUGAGGACACAAUGGAAGUUUAGCGAAACCGGUGGCUCUACAUUGGGGACUUAGUUCCAUACCCAGAAGAAAUAAACCAGCGCAUCCUUCUUUAAUCUAACAAGAGAUCCUAUGUGAUAUCCACAGAAAAGAGGAAGUUUGACCUCUAGAAGGCGCUGCUUGGAGACACCUGACAACAGAGAGUCUAUAAAGUUUUUGGAUGGCAGUCGCCUCAAUACCAAGAUGUUGGCAAAACUAACUGACUGGAUUGUCUCACCCUGUUGCUUCCCCAACAUGUGAGGGAGAUUGUGUUUAGGAACAGCUUUUAAGAGCUAAGGAUAGUAUAUUGAACAUAACCAACCUGUCCCACUAACUAGAAAAUUCCUGGAAGGUGGUCACAGCCAAAGUUGUGGAGAAAGUUCUCUUCAUAUUAAAGGAAAGUUUUGUUUCCCCUA